UCCAGGGCCGGGAGCCGUCCAUGAGGCAGAGCCAGUCGCCUCAGCUGUGCUCACCUCAGAAGGGGAGCUGUAGGGGAGGGCCGGCCUUCUCCCACAUAGGCAGCUCCUGUCCUUUGUGGGCCGCAUUUUAAAUUAUGAUUACAUUUAUAGACCGCCUUUAACUUACAAGGAACCCAAUGGUUCUCCUCCCCGUUUCAUCCUACCUGUAAGGUAGGUUUCUACCCUCUGAAUUAUGUUGCCAGUCUGGAAGGAAGCACACAAAGAAGGACCUCAGAUGAUGAUUGUAGGGCAGGGGUAGGCAAACUAAGGCCGCGGGGGGCCGCAUCUGGCCCAAUUGCCUUCUAAAUCCGGCCUUCAGACGGUCUGGGAAACAGCGUGUUUUUGCAUGAGUAGAAUGUGUCCUUUUAUUGUGUCCUGUCGCUUCUGAGCUCAGUUUUGCUUUCUUCUUUCCCUUCUGGGGACACGGAUAGCACUGUGGUCUAAACCUCUCCUGGUCUGCCCCGCAGAGGACCUUGAGGUCCAUGAAUAAGCAUAGUUUAGAGGUCCCAGGCCCUAAGGAAGUCAGACUAUCCUCCACCAGGGCCAGGGCCUUCUCAGUGAUGGCUCCGACCUGGUGGAAUGCUCUGUCCCAUAAGACCCUGCAUGAUUUAACCUCCUUCCGUCGGGCCUGUAAGACAGAGCUAUUCCGCCUGGCCUUUAAUUUGAAUUCAGCCUGAUGUUUUCUUCCCGUCCCUUCUCUUCCCUCCCCCUCCCCUUUUAUGAAGAUUACCCGCUCUGGGACCCCACAGCUAAUUCUCCCCUGGCCUCUUCGCUGGCCCAAGUAGGACUAAUUCAGCCAGCUCGCCCUGGUGACUAUCUAAUGUUUAUUGGAUGGAUUUCCCCCAAAUUGAUUUUGAACUUUGAAUUUUGUUGUUAUUCAUGCUUUUAUAUUGUAUUUUAUGCUGCUUCUAUGUUGUAUUACAAUUAAGUGUUUAAAAUUUGUUGUUAGCCACCCUGAGCCCAGUUUUCUGAACCGGGAAGGGCGGGGUAUAAAUAAAAUAUUAUUAUUAUUAUUAUUAUUAUUAUUAUUAUUUAAAAUGCAUCUCUGGGUUAUUUGUGGGGCCUGCCUGGUGUUUUUACAUUAGUAGAAUGUGUGCUUUUAUUUAAAAUGCAUCUCUGGGUUAUUUGUGGGUUAUAGGAAUUCAUUCAUAUUUUUUCCCAAAAUAUAGUCCGGUCCCCCACAGGGUCUGAGGGACAGUGGACCGGCUCCCUUCUGAAAAAGUUUGCUGACCCCUGGGCUAAGAGAUGGUGACUGGCCCAAGGCUGAGUGGGCAUUCAAACCCUGCUGUCCAAGGUCCUAGUCCAAAAGCUAACGAUUACGCCACACUUAACAACUAAACAUUAUGCCUCUUAACAGCUAAACGUUAAUUAACGUUUAUUGGAAUCAAAACACGUUUUCUCACGGCUAUACCGGGUGAAUUGUAGUGUUGGAAUGGACCCCACCCCCCAUCUAGUCCAUGCCUGUACCCCUGCAAUGCAGGAAUAGUAGCUGAAGAAUCCCUGACUGUCAGGGCCAGCCCCAUUUUUGGCACCUAAGGCAAACCACAAAAUGGCGCACGCAAGAUCUGCAUCAGGAACAAGGGUAAGAGGAGACCAGCAGCACCUCCUGAGGCUGCUGCAGAGGUGGCAUUGGUGGGGCUGCUGAGCAGGUGUCGCACAGGAGCGGGCAAUGCAUUCCUUGGAGGCUAGACCUGCUGUGCGGUCCAGGGCACUUGCCUCAUGGGUGGUCUGGCCUUCCUGACAGUUGGUCAUCCAACCUCUCUUUAAAAAGCCAAGGGAGGGGAGCCCACCAUCUUCAGAGGUAGUCACUGUUUAGGGAAGCUUUUAAUGUUUGAUGCAUUACUGUAUUUUAAUAUUUUGUUGGAAGCCGCCCAGAGUGGCUGGGGAAGCCACAUGGGCGGGGUAUAAAUAAUAAAUUAUUAUUAUUAUUAUCACUCAUUCCCUCAAAGGAUUCAUGCUGUCUUCUCUCUCUAGCUCUGAGAGAAGAACAGGCACAAGUAAAAGCAAAAGUACAGUACAAAUAGUACAUACUGCGGAAGAGAUAAGACUGUCUUCCGUUCCCACGCUCUUCCCAGACAAGCAUGUGAUUUAUGCCAAUUUCAUCUGCAGCAUCAGAGGCGUGAAAUACUAACACCUUCAUUGGGCCAGGCCUUCAGAUAGUUCAAGAUCUUUAUGUUGCCUCUCCUUAUACCAGGGGCUAGGGAACCUGAGACAUGGGUGCUGAGAGCAUGCCCUCCAACAUUUAUCUGAUGAAAAUAGGGACAUCCUAUUCAAUAACAAUAACACUCCGCCCAUCUGACUGGGUUGCUUCAGCCACUCUGGGCAGCUUCCAACAUAUAUAAAAAUGUAAUAAAAUAUGCAUUUAAAAACUUCCCUAUGCAGGGCUGCCUUCAGAUGUCCUCUAGAGGAUGUAUAGUUGCUCCUCUUCUUGGCUCUGAGGUCACUUAACUCCAUAUGCUCCCAUUAUUUCUCUGAUAAAAGUAGGGACAUUCUAGGGGAAAGUGGGAUAUUGAAAGAUCAAAUCAGAAACCGGGGCGACUUCUGUACAUCUGGGGCUGUCCCUGGACAUUAGGGACACGUGGAGGGUUUGUGAGUGAGAACUGCCAAGCAUCUCUCUCUCUCUCUUUUUUUUUUUAAAAUAAUUUUUAUUAAAGUUUUGAUCAACAAAGAAAGAAAAAAAAACAUACACAAUACAUAUAACAACAACACACAAAAAACAAAACAAAAUUCAACAAUAAAACAAAAACAAAAAGCAUAACAAUUAAAAACAAUAUCUCUUUUCCAUUUCCAUUUUUAAGUUACUUAUUUUCUGGACUUCCUCAUACCUCCCUCUUUUGUAUUCCAAUCCAAAUUGUUUGUCCAGCAGUUUCUUUUCCACUUUUUUAAUCCCAAUCUUAGCUUUAAUAAGAUAUUAAAAUAUAUAUCUUCAACUUCUUUAAACCUGAUCUUUGGUCUUAGUAUCAUAUGACGUUAAAAUUUUCCCUCUUAAUAUCAAAUUUCCAUUUCUUUAAACAUCUUUAAUCUUAAUCUUUAAUCUUAGUCUAUCAUUAACUUUAACCUGUACAGCUGGAAACCGCUUAUUUUCAGUCCAACAUCACUCUAACACUCCUUAAUUUUGCAGUAUUUCUGAAGAUAGUCUUUACAUUUCUUCCAAUCUUCCUCCAUCGACUCUUCUCCCUGGUCACGGAUUCUACCAGUCAUUUCCGCCAAUUCCAUAUAGUCCAUAAGUUUCAUCUGCCAUUCCUGCAGCGUGGGAAGUUCUUGUGUCUUCCAAUGCCAAGCAUCUCUCUCUCUGGCCCUUGGAACUCUCCCUAGACUGCACAACUCACCAAACCUAGUUCAGACACUCUGAGUGUUUUUCCCCCAACUGGCAUACAUCCCUGAACUCAGAUAAUGCCUCUUUGUUGCCUGGAUGGGUAAUACAUGAGCGUGUGUGGAAACUAACCUGUACAAAGAUAAAAUUUACAGUCACUGAUCUUUUGCAUUUGGCACCGUCCACCCCAGCAUAUGGCCCCUAAAAGGUUGCACAGAAAGCAAUGUGGCCCUCAGGCUGAAAAAUGCUCCCCACCCCAUCUUACUCAUCCCCCCCCCCCCGUGGACCCUUGGCAACAUGCCAUUCCAAUAUCCUUCUUAAAACAUGGCGGCCAGAACUAGAUACAACUAAAUCAACUAAAGGUUUUCAUCCUGAUAAAUAGGAAGAACAAUCAUAAUUUCUUUGGGUGUCCUGAUUAAAUUUUUAUUAGGGGACAGUUCCCUACAGCUUUGAAAAAGUGGUCUGUUUCUCAUUUAGAGCAGACAUUUUAAAGAGAAAAGUUUGUGGGGGUGAUAAAUUAAAUUCAAGAGAGCAAAACUAUCUGACAGAAUACCUGGUUUUAACAGUUAUUUUAACUGCAAUUAAUUUUAUUCUGUUUUAUGUAUUUUGCUUUGUAAUGGCUUCAGCUAUACAAAUAAGUAAUAUUUGUAUUCAAAUUAUAAUUUAUUUUGAUUAGAGCAGAUUCUAAUGGAUCAUGCUAUAUGAAGUGAUCAACAGAGUUGGUUGUGGGUGUUUUUCUUCUGAGAAUUUAUCAGUUUGCCUCUAGAGGUCAGGAAGAGAGUUUGUGUAUUUUCUCACCUUAUCUCUUUAUAGAUUGGUUUUCCACAGCAGCAGACCAGAAUGCUAUCAAGCCUCCUUCACUACCUCCUUUUCUGCCUUUGUUCUGUCUUCUUGCCUGGCCUAGCUUCAGUCCUCAAAAAACUUACCAUAGCUUUUAUCUAGUCUGGCAAAACAAUGAAGUGUUGUCUUGGCCCUCCCCCCCCCCUUGUGCCUUUUAUGUGUUAAGGAGUUCAACACAACACACCUCUUAAUGAAACAUGUUUCAGAUUUGAAACUAAGAGGCAAAAAGUCUGCAUUGCCUACCCAAUACAGUAUUGCAGCUCCUGACUGGCAAAUCCCUGUGAAAUAGAAACUUAAUUGGCUAUUUUGAGUCAUUGUUGACCUAUACCAUGGCUUCUGAACUCCCAGUGGGUUUUGUUGCUCUCACAACAAGGGUACCAGCUGGGCUUGCUGCUCAGAUGAGACGAGAACCUUUAGUUGAUUUAGCCAUGUUCCAUCUCCACUGUCAGAAAUGAACAGCAGUUGUUGGGAAUCGCAGGUGGGCAGAGUGGGUCCCAUCAGGACCUGCAUGGAGGGGGUUAGAAUCUACAAGCAGAAACAUGGUGUACAGAUCAAACAAAUUCCUUUGUUAAGGUAACAGCCUUGGGCGGCCUCACCAGCAUCUCAAAGAGUUAGCUAAAAGAGACGUGUUGCCCUAGUGGCAAUGGAAGAUACUUCCAUGAGGCAAUCUGCCACCUCUCUCACCUAGCUGGAUUCCACAUCAUCUUAGGAAGGGAAACAAUAGGCCAGGGAACUAGUGCUGGAGAGAGAGUUUGGUUGGGUUGGAAGCUGCAGAGGGAAGCUUGACUCACAUCAGCUGUGCUUAACCCAAAGCUAUGAUACCUUUAGGGCUAAACCACGGAGCCUAGGACAUUCCGAUCAGAAGGUCAGCAGUUCAAAUCCCCGUGUCGGGUUGAGCUCCCGUUGCUCGGUCCGUGCUCCUGCCAACCUAGCAGUUCAAAAGCAUGUCAAAGUGCAAGUAGAUCAAUAGGUCUCCGGCGGGAAGGUAAACAGCGUUUCCGUGCGCUGCUCUGGUUCGCCCGAAGCGGCUUAGUCAUGCUGGCCACAUGACCCGGAAGCUGUACGCCGGCUCCCUUGGCCAAUAAAGCGAGAUGAGCACCGCAACCCCAGAGUCGGCCACGACUACCUAAUGGUCAGGGGUCCCUUUACCUUUACCUAUACCUAUAAACUUAAUGCGGAAGAAAUAUCUGUUGGGAGUGUUAAUGAGGUGUACAUUAAGUGUAAAUAAAACACUGUACAGUGGUACCUCGGGUUACAUACGCUUCAGGUUACAUACGCUUCAGAUUACAGACUCCGCUAACCCAGAAAUAGUACCUCGGGUUAAGAACUUUGCUUCAGGAUGAGAACAGAAAUGGUGCUCCAGCGGUGCGGCAGCAGCAGGAGGCCCCAUUAGCUAAAGUGGUGCUUCAGGUUAAGAACAGUUUCAGGUUAAGAAUGGACCUCUGGAACGAAUGGGUACCACUGUAUACUGAAAAGACUAAAGUCUUAUUUGGCUUUCAUUCCAAGGAAACCAUAUGCUGGGUAAGCGCCGGAACCCCUGGAGUCCCACCACUCCAGGUAAAUUGGAGUGCAGGCAAUACAAUAUGUUGUGGGAAAAGUUGCUUUUGAUUGUUGAGUGUUCCAAAGCUCCUAUGAACUGGCAGAGAAAACUUGAAGGGAUCAUAGGCAAGCAUCUGCAUACAUAUCAUACUUUUCAAGCACUUGUGUUCCACCCCCCCCCAAAAAAAAAAGAAUCCUGGGAACUGUAGUUUGUUAAGAGUGUUGGGAAAUUUAGCUCAGUUUGAGAAAUUUCAGCCCCCAUGAUUCUUUGGGGAAAAGCUACUUGCUUUAAAUUGCAAAAUUGGGAUUAGGGUUAGGUUCUAGACCAGAAUACAAAAUUUCAGACUGAGGGCUCUUUUUGCCUUUGUCUCUUUUCAGUGGAUCUGGAUGGUAGACAGUAGCAGCAACCUGAUGUCUGCCCACCUCUGGUGUAGAUGUUGUCUUUGCCUGCCUCUCUUCUCAUGUUCUCUACCAUUUAUCAGAAACAAGCAGCAGGUCCAAUUCUGAAAUGUACCAUUAGACAUUGCCGGUUUGAAUGCAGGGCCCUAUUAAAACACCCUGCAUGUACAAAAGUAGCAAUGAGAAGAGCAGCCUAACUUUGCUGUGUCGUGCAGGGAGAUUAUUUGAGUUUUUGUAUAGUAGCAGCAUUCAGAUACAACAACACCCCUGCAAACUCUGGUGGUACAGCCCAGGAAAAGCUUUGCCACUCAUUUCUGCUGAAUGGAUAAACUAACCCAUUGAUACAUGUGCCUAUGUGUCAAAAGAGAAUGCCAGCCUUAUCUUGGGACUGGGAAAGAGCAGUUAUGAAUACGACGGUGACAAGCCUUCUCUUUGCCUUUAUAGUUCCAAAAAACUGGCAUAAUUUUUUUGAUUCUGUUUGUAUCCUUUGUGUAUUGUCAUUCAAAGUAACGCCAGGGUGGUUUGCAGGACACAACACAACAAUAAAAAAUAAUGCUAGCUUCAUAACAAUGCAGAAGAAGUGUCAGCUGAAAGACUCGUUGUAUUCCAAAGGCGGGGGGAAAUACAGUGAUAUGGAAAAUUGCUUAAUGCUGUCUAAUUGGGGCACCUAGCACAGUACAGUCUUCACUGACUGGCAGUGGCUCUCCGCGGUUUCAGGCAGGCCUCUAUCCCAGUCUUACCUGGAGAUGUUGGGAAUUGAACUCGUCACCUUCUUGCAUGCACAGCAGAUUCUCUACCACUGAGCUAUGGCCUUUCCAAAAUGGCUUUCAGCUUACACCUAAAUGAGGCCUACAUGGAGACAACUGAAUGUAAUUUCUGAAGGAGUUCUCUAAUCAGGGGGCAGCCACAGAAAAAGCCCUGUUUCAUGCCUGCCCAGUAGAAGGUAACAUCCCCGGCAGAUGUUAAUAGUGUCAGUUUGCAUUUCUUAGUACAGGAAGUAUUGAUCUGAUGUGUACAGAUCUUUCCUAUUCUGCUUAGUUCAAGAGGGUUCUACUCUGCUUGAAAGAAGGUUCUUGUUUGGGUACGGACACGGGUGGCGCUGUGGUCUAAACCACUGAGCCUCUUGGGCUUGCCGAUAGGAAGGUCGGCAAUGGGGUGAGCUCCCGUUACUCUGUCCCAGCUCCUGCCGACCUAGCAGUUCGAAAGCACAACAGGGCAAGUAGAUAAAUAGGUACUCCUGUGGCAGGAAGGUAAAAGGCGUUUCCGUGUGCUCUGCUUUCUGUCACGGUGUUCUGUUGCGCCAGAAGCGGUUUAGUCCUGCUGGCCACAUGACCCGGAAAGCUGUCUGCGGACAAACACCGGCUCCCUUGGCCUGAAAGCGAGAUGAAAGCCACACUCCAUAGUCGCCUUUGACUGGACUUAACCGUCCAGGGGUCCUUUACCUUUACCUUGUUUGGGUUAUUCCUUCUGCGAAGCUGAGUACAGCUGGUUUAAACUGGUUCUGUUAUCUUUCUGUCAAGGCCAUGCUGACUAUAAUAGGCCAGAAGCCUGGAUUUCACUUUCUUUCUCUUUCUAUCUCUUUGUUCUGGUGUGGUGUUCUGUAUAGAGUGGUACCUCGGGUUAAGAACUUAAUUCGUUCUGGAGGUCCGUUCUUAACCUGAAACGGUUCUUAACCUGAAGUACCACUUUAGCUAAUGGGGCCUCCUGCUGUCGCUGUGCCACCGCUGCACGAUUUCUGUUCUCAUCCUGAAGCAAAGUUCUUAACCCGAGGUAAUAUUUCUGGGUUAGUGGAGUCUGUAACCUGAAGCAUAUGUAAUUUGAGGUACCACUGUACUGUAUAGUGUUAAGGUUUAGACUUACAGUAUUAUAAGAUAUUGUAAGUUUAGGUUAAGUCUGCUGCAACUGGAUUUUUUUUAUGAACAGUGCCAGUCCUGAAUGUAUUGGAUUUGUGACCAUUAUGCUCAUUUGCCUUCAGUAGCAGCAAAGCUCUGCUGGAUGAAAUACAAUUGCCUCUGGUCUACUUUUUUGGAAUCCUGCAACAUAUUUAAGUUGUUACUCUGCUAAGUAUACACUGGAAUCUACUCUGGAUCAAUACUGAGUAGCAUUUAUACGACAAAUAGAUGGGUAAGGUGCAGUACAAGAGGAAGUUCUCCCAGUACAGUGGUACGUCGGUUUACGAACUUAAUCUGUUCUGGAAGUCCGUUCUUAAACCAAAAUCAUUCUUAAACCAAGGUGUGCUUUCCCUAAUGAGACCUCCCGCGGCCAGUGCCCUUCCACCGUUUGGCUUCCGUUCGAAGACUGAGGCAAAUUUUGCUAACUUGAACACCGGUUUUGCGGAGUUCGUAUACCAAAUAGUUCGUAAACAGGGCUGUUCUUAAACCAAGUUACCACUGUAUAACAAAAUGUAAUAGCUAUUAGGGAAAGCACGCAAUCUUGCCCUGAGGAGUGGGGGGGGGGGAGAAGCUUUGGGGAGUGACCACCAUCCAGCCCUCAUAGUGUCCCCUCUGUCUCCCAACUGCCACCACAGAGGCGUCAUCUUGUUCUGAGGGGAGAGAACAUCUUCUAAAACAAGCAAGUUGUCCUUUCCCUUUAAUUUAAUGCAAAAGGUAAAGGUAAAGGUACCCCUGCCCGUUCGGGCCAGUCUUGCCAGACUCUAGGGUUGUGCGCUCAUCUCACUCUAUAGGCCGGGAGCCAGCGCUGUCCGCAGACACUUCCGGGUCACGUGGCCAGCGUGACAAGCUGCAUCUGGCGAGCCAGCGCAGCACACGGAACGCCGUUUAACCUUCCCGCUGGUAAGCGGUCCCUAUUUAUCUACUUGCACCCGGAGGUGCUUUCGAACUGCUAGGUUGGCAGGCGCUGGGACCGAACGACGGGAGCGCACCCCGCCGUGGGGAUUCGAACCGCCGACCAUGCGAUCGGCAAGUCCUAGGCGCUGAGGUUUUACCCACAGCACCACCCGUGUCCCAUAAUUUAAUGCAAACUUUUUUUAAAAGAUGCUUAUUGUUAUAAUCUUACGUAAACUGCUUUGGAGGGUCUCUCUGACAGCGAUACAGUGGUAACUUGGUUUAUGAACUUAAUCCGUUCCGGAAGUCCGUUCUUAAACCAAAGCGUUCUUAAACCAAGGCGUGCUUUCCCAUAGCAGCGGGGGACUCAAUUUACAAAUGGAACACACUCAACAUGUUCUGCUUCCAAGGCAAAAUUCACAAACCAAAACACCUACAUCCGAGUUUGCAGUGUUCUUAAUCCAAGUUGUUCAUAAACUAAGCUGUUCUUAAACCAAGAUACCACUGUAUAUAAAAUACUUUAAAAUAAAUAAGAAUAUCAUCAAGAGAACAGUCAGACCAGGGCCAGCUCAAUUAUGAGGCAAAGUGAGGCAACCGUCAGCAGUGGCAGGAUCCGCAGCAGCAGCAGCAGAUCCCCAUGUCGAUAUUUAUUCUCUGCUUGUUCCUGAUGUAGAUCCUCACUCACAGAGGCACCCUUUUGUGAUUCACCUCAGGUGCCAAAAUGUUUUGGGCUGGCUCUGAGUAAGAUUACUGUUACAGUAUCCAGGAGCUGGUGUUAUUGGAAUGUAUACAGACUCACAGUAUGUUUAUUUAUCCCACUGAGUUCAGCAGGACUUCCUGCUCAUUAAUCACCAGGCUUCGGGUUUCACUGCCCGUAAUUCCAACAGGCAUAAGGUGGUUGUGGGAAGGGAAACCUCUCCACGAGCAGACUCUAGAUCAGGGGUCAGCAACCUUUUUCAGCCGUGGGCCAGUCCACCAUCCCUCAGACUCAUAGCUGUCAACUUACAGAUUUGAAAAUAAGGGACCACCAGCCUCGAAAAUAAGGGAUCAGCAUCCAAAAUAAGGGAUUUUCCAAGCACAGGUAUGUUCGACUUCUGAGCCCCUCCAAGCCAAAGGCAGAAAGCCCAGUCAGCAGCCAAACGAAGCCUCAAGCGGUGGUUCCCACAGUGCAGCAACCCAGCAAAGGGGAUGCAGCAAGGAAAACCACCGUCACCUCUCCGCUGGGAAGAGCUGAGCAAAGGCGAGUCCCCAGGCAACGUGGCCAAUUUGAUCGGCACAAGGCAUGCAAGCUCCACCCCCCAGUUCUUAGACUCCUUAUUGGGUGAGCAAUGCAGCCAAGCAAGACAGUUGGAGCCUCCCUCUUCGCUGGCUGGCAGGGAGGGAGGGAGAGGAGCUGCUUCCUUUGAAACCUGGGAAAUUUAAGGGACAUCAUCAAUAAGGGACAGCAACGGGACACAGUGCUGGGAUAAGGGACUUUCCUGCCAAAUAAGGGACGGUUGACAGCUAUGCUCAGACUAUGUGGUGGGCCGGACUAUAUGGGGGGGGGGAAUGAACGAAUUCCUAUGCCCCACAAAUCACCCAGAUAUGCAUUUUAAAUAAAAGCACACAUUCUACUCAUGUCAAAACACAGAUUCCCAGACCAUCCGCAGGUCGGAUUGAGAAGGUGAUUGGGCCACAUCCGGCCCCUGGGCCUUAGGUUGCCUACUUCUUCUCUAGACAUAUGCAAGUCAAAACAAUCCCCCACCUUCCCUGGGGCCACUUAAGGAAGACAUGGGAUGAGGCAGAACAAGGAGGCGCAAGCCAGGGAGCUUCCAGUCAGCCUGCGAAGACUCUGGGGUGCUUCCAGACUGUAUUUUGGGGUGUGAUUGAAUCGCCUACCAUCAAAUCCAGGUUGCAUGAUUAAAGGGGAUGCAGGUGGUGCUAUGGGUUAAACCACAGAGCCUAGGACUUGCCGAUCAGAAGGUCGGCGGUUCAAACCCCUGCGACGGGGUGAGCUCCCGUUGCUUGGUUCCUGCUCCUGCCAACCUAGCAGUUCGAAAGCACUUCAAAGUGCAAGUAGAUAAAUAGGUACCGCUCCAGCGGGAAGGUAAACAGCGUUUCUGUGCGCUGCUCUGGUUCGCCAGAAGCGGCUUAGUCAUGCUGGCCACAUGACCCGGAAGCUGUACACCGGCUCCCUCGGCCAAUAAAGCGAGAUGAGCCCGCAACCCCAGAGUCGGUCACGACUGGACCUAAUGGUCAGGGGUCCCUUUACCUUUACCCUUUAAAGUUCUUGUGCAACAAACCUGAUCACCAUUACUGCAAAGAAACCGGGACUUUUUGUGUUUAGGAAAGUGACAAGUAAAUGCACUGGGACACGAGGGAUAACAUUUGCUUGACAAAACAUCGUCUAACCCAGGGGUCAGCAACCUUUUUCAACCAUGGGCCGGUCUACCGUCCCUCAGACCAUGUGGUGGGCCAGACUAUAUUUUUUUGGGGGUAAAUGAACUAAUUCUUAUGCCCCACAAAUAACCCACAGAUGCAUUUUAAAUAAAAGGACAUAUUCUACUCAUGUAAAAACACGCUGAUUCCUGGACCAUCCGCAGGCCGGAUUGAGAAGGCGAUUGGGCCGCAUCUGGCCCACGGACCUUAGCUUGCCUACCCCUGAUCUAACCUGUAGGCCUCCAAUCAGUGGGUCGGGACCCACAGGUAUGUAGGUCACAUGACCUUCCUGGGUGGUUCACAGAACAGCUGUUGCUGCUCUGUUGGAUUCCAGCAGAGGCUGAUCAGACCAAUUCUUAUUUUAUCUUUUUCCUUGAGUGAUGCAAAUCAGCAGGAGAAAGAUGAGGGCAUUUUUUCUAUAAUUAUAUUUCUUGGCAACCAUAUGCCCUACCUUCCUAUAGCUAUGUCUGUACCUCUCUAUGGAGCAGGGACACUGUUCACUUUCUAGUCUGUUUCUAUGGCUUUCUAAGCUUCCCCCAGAAUGGAAGUAUGCUAGGGACUAGAAUGCCUAAGUGUCUGCUGAGGUGGGUAGCUGGGUUGUGCAGUACAGUGGUACCUCAGGUUACAUACGCUUCAGGUUACAUACCCUUCAGGUUACACACUCCACUAACCCAGAAAUAGUGCUUCAGGUUAAGAACUUUGCUUCAGGAUAAAAACAGAAAUUGGGCUCCGGCAGCGCAGCAGCAGCAGGAGGCCCCAUUAGCUAAAGUGGUGCUUCAGGUUAAGAACAGUUUCAGGUUAAGUACGGACCUCCGGAACGAAUUAAGUACUUAACCCGAGGUACCACUGUAGUUGACAUAAUGUGUGUGUGGGGGGGGAGAGAAUCACUGGUUUUCAAUAGCUUCUUAGCCUUUUUGCUAAGAACAUGUGUAACACCACUAGUUUCAUUUAGCAGUCAUGCUAAGGAAACACUAUGUAUAAUACUGCUUUGUGAAUUGUCAUUUUAGAAUUAAUAAUGUGCCUUAUUGACACUAAUAGGUAUAAAUCAGAAGUGAAUAUGUGAAAGUGGGACCCAAAUUGCAGGCUGGAAGUCAGAGGUGAGUCUUAAGUCUGGACCAGAUGAAGACCACUGACCUAACCUCCCAACAGACAAAUCAGGAUGAAUGCAAACCCUCCAACAUUUCUCUGAUGAAAAUAAGGAUGUCCUAUUCCCUAAUAGUAAUAGCUGCUAUUAUUAAUAUUAUUAUUAUUAUUAUUAUUAUUAUUAUUAUACCCCACCCAUUUAAAUGGGUUGCCCCAGCCACUCUAGGCGGCUUCUAACAUAUAUAAAAAUGUAAUAAAACAUUAAACUUUAAACAAAAACAAAAACAAAAAUACUUCCCUAUACAGUGGUACCUUGGGUUACAGUGGUACGCUUCAGGUUACAGACUCUGCUAACCCAGAAAUAGUACCUCAGGUUAAAAACUUUGCUUCAGGAUGAGAACAGAAAUCGUGCUCUGGCGGCACGGGGGCAGCAGGAGGCCCCAUUAGCUAAAGUGGUGCUUCAGGUUAAGAACAGUUUCAGGUUAAGUACAGACCUCUGGAACGAAUUAAGUACUUAACCCGAGGUACCACUGUAAACACAAGAUAAAUAUACAUGUGUCAGAAUGUUCAAGGCAGCGGCGCAGCUGCAGUGGGAAGCCCCAUUAGCUAAAGUGGUACUUCAGGUUAAGAACAGUUUCAUGUUAAGAACGGACCUCCAGAACGAAUUAAGUUCUUAACCCGAGGUAUCACUGUACAGGACUGCCUUCAGAUGUCUUCUAAAGGUUGUAUAGUUACUUAUCUCGGGGGUCGCAUAACUCAAUACCCUCCAACAUUUCUCUGAUGAAAAUAGGGACAUCCUAAAGGAAAGUGGAACAUUCCGGGAUCCAAUCAGAAACUGUGGCGGCUUCUGUAAAUCCGGGACUGUCCCUGGAAAAUAGGGACACUUGAAGGAUCUGUGAAUGCUCAGUCAACAGGAUUCAUCCUAGCCUUACUGUGUUGCAUUACAUGUAUGUAUGUAUGUAUGUAUGUAUAUAUGUAUGUAUGUGCAGGGGUAUUCUAACAUCCAAGCAAGCUUUGUGCAAACAAAGCCGGAUGAAUGCUCAAAUGGGUCAUCUGAAAGCAUCUUGUCACUCUACAUUUUAUAAAAUUUGUUUGUAUCAGUGUUUUAAAGUUGUAAACCGCCUUGGGUGUGAACAGCAGUACAGAAUGCAAUAAACAAACAAGCAAACAAAACAUU
rnacentral:lncRNA from 1 species